rnacentral:rRNA from 1 species
UACGGGGGGGGCAAGCGUUGUUCGGAAUUACUGGGCGUAAAGGGCUCGUAGGCGGCCAACUAAGUCAGACGUGAAAUCCCUCGGCUUAACCGGGGAACUGCGUCUGAUACUGGAUGGCUCGAGUUUGGGAGAGGGAUGCGGAAUUCCAGGUGUAGCGGUGAAAUGCGUAGAGAUCAUGAGGAAGACCAGUGGCGAAGGCGGGUCUCUGGACAGUUCCUGACACUGAGACACGAAGGCCAGGGGAGCAAACGGG